rfam:Pristionchus pacificus strain PS312 contig1686, whole genome shotgun sequence.
UCUUCAUUUCGCACACUCUCUCACCGGUUAGAGAGGAGAGAGAGAGUAUGUGAAAUGAAGAGA